GAACGCUAGCGGCAGGCUUAACACAUGCAAGUCGAGGGGCAGCAGGAACAAAGUUUGCUUUGUUUGCUGGCGACCGGCGCACGGGUGCGUAACGCGUAUCGAACCUGCCCUAUACUCAGGGAUAGCCUUGCGAAAGUAAGAUUAAUACCUGAUGUUGUUAUUUAUUCGCAUGUUUGAAUAACGAAAGAUUUAUUGGUAUAGGAUGGCGAUGCGUGGCAUUAGGUAGUAGGCGGGGUAACGGCCCACCUAGCCGACGAUGCCUAGGGGUUCUGAGAGGAAGGUCCCCCCACACUGGUACUGAGACACGGACCAGACUCCUACGGGAGGCAGCAGUGAGGAAUAUUGGUCAAUGGGCGGAAGCCUGAACCAGCCAAGUAGCGUGAAGGAUUACAGCCCUACGGGUUUUAAACUUCUUUUAUAUAAGAGUAAUGUGCACUACGUGUAGUGUAUUGCAAGUAUUAUAUGAAUAAGCAUCGGCUAACUCCGUG
rnacentral:rRNA from 1 species